GCGCGUCCAAUGACGUCAGGCGCGCCUGGUAGUCUGCGCACGCGCUUUGUCAGGACAAGGGCAAAUCUUUCGGUUUCGUCACAGGACCUGGGAGUCCUCUCUGAAAUGUAAUCAUUAAAGAAGAUAGUACUCCUAUAUCCCAAUUUCUGUGGGCAGGUAGGAGGAGCCCAACCUUGGCCAACUUGCAGAACUACCUCCUGUCAUAAAGGAGUCAGAAAAUAUGAUUUCCAAAUUGAAAGAAAUCACUCACACAAGCAAAUAAAGACCAUGACUACUGUUGAGGAAGAAAUAUCAUCAAUAUUAAAGAAAUACGGUAAGUGAAAAUCUUGAGUGAAGAACUUUAGAAUUGUUGGACUUUAUUAGAUUGUUCCAAGCAGCUGAUGGGGUACACAUGUGCUCAAAUAUUUACUCCCUACAAACACUGGGUCAGUUGUAAAGGGCUUCAGGUGGUCAGUGGGUUCAGACUGCUACCAUGAGCAGCCUACUCCAUUUGCUGCUAAUGCUAUGAAAAAGAAAUGAAAGAGGUUGGGAGCUCUGGUUCAAAAGCUAUAUCUAGAGAACUCCUGUGUGAAUAAACAAAGUUCUAAAAGGAAAAUAAGAAAGGGGAGAAAUAAUGAAGAAAAAUAUUCCAUCAAAAAUCAGGUGAACUCCACAGAUGAAAAAUUUCACCAAGGGGCAGACACCAUAAAGUGCAAACACAGUCAUAGAGAAUAUACUUUCAUAUACCCAGUUUAAGGAAACUACUUGAAAAAGUGCUACAAACAAAUGAAAUUUGAAGCAUAAAAAAUAUUGAAGAUGUAGAAGUAGAAAGAAAACUGAGAAAUUAACAUUAGGACGUUAAUUAAAUUAAACAUAUAAACUAAUAUUGAC